GCAGCACUAGCUAUGGAAAUAGGAAGCUGCAAUGCUUGCAAGAUCAGUGCUGCUCCAGUCUGCAGGAGUGACAAAGCCCUCAUAUCCAGGGGAUCGCUGCUUGGGGAAGCUCUGCUCGUCCGCCUGUCUUGGAGUUUUUGGGUCUCGCUGCCUGCCGCUCUCGACCACCACGCACCAGAGACCUCAACCUUCAUUCUGUCAAUAAAUCCUCUGUUUUUUUGCC